rnacentral:rRNA from 1 species
GACGGGGCCCGCACAAGCGGUGGAGUAUGUGGUUUAAUUCGAUGCAACGCGAAGAACCUUACCUGGUCUUGACAUCCCGGAGACCCUUAGGAAACUAGGGGGUGCUUCCAUCUGGAAGAAUCUGGAGACAGGUGCUGCAUGGCUGUCGUCAGCUCGUGUCGUGAGAUGUUGGGUUAAGUCCCGCAACGAGCGCAACCCUUGCCUUUAGUUGCCAGCAGUUCGGCUGGGCACUCUAAAGGGACUGCCGGUGUUAAACCGGAGGAAGGUGGGGAUGACGUCAAGUCCUCAUGGCCUUUACGUCCAGGGCUACACACGUGCUACAAUGGCCGAUACAGAGGGCAGCUACCUGGUGACAGGAUGCAAAUCUCCAAAGUCGGUCUCAGUUCGGAUCGGAGUCUGCAACCCGACUCCGUGAAGUUGGAUUCGCUAGUAAUCGCGCAUCAGCCAUGGCGCGGUGAAUACGUUCCCGGGCCUU